rnacentral:rRNA from 1 species
AACAUGCUAACACAGCAUACCAAAUUAUGGCCAAAAAUUUUAAGUUGGGGCGACUUCGGAACCAAACAGAACUUCCGAGCAUAGAGAGCAUUCCUCCUACCAAGACCAACAUGUCAAAGCAAAUAUUGACCCAGUACUACUGACCAACGAACCAAGUUACCCCAGGGAUAACAGCGCCAUCUUCUUCAAGAGUCCAUAUCGACAAGAAGGUUUACGACCUCGAUGUUGGAUCAGGACACCCAAAUGGUGCAGCAGCUAUUAAAGGUUCGUUUGUUCAACGAUUAACAGUCCU